CUGGAGUGCUCGCGCUCCGCCCUGGAGCCUAGCUCGGCCGCUGCGGGCGCCGGAACCCCUCCCGGCCCUGCCCCGCCGCCGCCUCGAGCCCCGAGACGCGGGACUCCCACCCCGCGGGUCGCUCCCGGCAGGCGCUGACUCUGCGAGCCGCAGCGUCCCCUGCAGGCGGAGCCCGGCGCGCCCAGGCCGGAGGCGGGGCGCGGGGCGGCAGCCUCCCAGCCAGCCCUGCGACCUCGGGCCCGGGCUGACCUGCUGUCGCCUCGGGGCGAAAGGGGUGGACCAGGAUAGAUGGCGCUGGGCCCGCUCCCACGUGGGGCGGAGGCAGGAGCGCGGCGGGCCUGGGCCGGGCGGUGCGGUGCGGGGACGGGGUUCCAGAGCUGCGGGGUGACCUCCAGAGACCAAGGCAGCGCCUGGCCGGACUGACCCCGCUCACCCUUCCUCCGAAGAGGAACCCUGGGUUUGGCUUUUUUUUUAAUCUUGAGGUGUUUUCCCCCUUAAUAUUAAAUCCUAAAGGAAAUAGACAUUCAAGCUCCCUGUCCGUAGGGAAUUAUAAUCCUGGGCAAAAGAAAAAGAAAUAUUUUUCUAUGAUAAGCACAGUAUCUCAAUAAGAAUUGAGAACUUUUCCCACUGACUUAAAUCCUGGGAAAGGAAAGGGGGAAAUGGAGUAUAAGGGAAGCUGAAAGGCAAACUUUAUCGUCCUCAUGAUUUUUGCCAAGAGUUGGCUCAUCCUGUUGAUGUUCAGAAGAGAAGCUGUAACACCCAAAGCAAGAACUCAGCGUGGUUUGUCUUCGCUUAUGAAAUCGUUGAAUCUCUGGCCUGUCCCAGCAUGUUAACUGGAUUGGGCUGUUGGAAGUUCUGUGAUGUGGCUGCUUAUGACAAUAACCCAGGCUGGUUAAAGAAGGCUAGGAGGCAAUAAGAUCUUCCUUCUGUUAAUACAGUCACUACAGCUGUUAUAGAAAGGCAUGAUCAAUAAAAGAGGGGAAGUCAAGUCCUACUCUGAAAACUGGAGUUCCAUAAAGAAUAAAGUAUAAGAGCUGAAAAAGAAAUCAGAGCUACAUUAAUUCAGGAGCACACGCUGAUCACUUGCUCUGUGGGGAAGCCAGUUGCCAUGUCAUAAGAACACUCAAGCAGCCUUUUAGAGAGACCCAAGUGGUAAAAAACUGAGGUCUCCUGACAAGAGGCAGGGAAAAAAAAAUUUCUUGCCGACAGGCAUGUGAAUAAGCCAUCUUGGAAGAAGAUUCUCCUGCCCCAGUCAGGCUUCAGAUGAUCACAGCCCCAGCUGACGUCUUGACCACAACUUCAUGCAAGAGCCACCCAGCUAAGUCAUUCCCAAAUUCCUGUUCCACAGAGACUGUGAAAUAAUAAAAUAGUGUUUGCAAAUAUCUUUUCCCAUUAUGCAUCUUGUCUUUUCACUCAUCUUAAGAUGUGUUUUCUUUUUUAAUAAACUGAAGUUCUUAGCAAU